GCACACACUAAUAGGACUUAGAAUCGUUUGUUCAAUGUUUUAUUAAACAAGAAAGAAAACAGACAUCGACAUGCAACGCCAACCCCCGGUCGGCAAGUGCAGAACUUUCGGACGUGGUACUUUUUUUUAUUUCGUGGAAGCGUGAGACAAGUUUAUUUUUUUAUUCGCGUGCAGGAUUCUUCAAGAGGAUAAAGGAUAAAGGAAAUUUUUUGAACGUUAUCGAACGUGUUCGGCCGGUAUCGUUUGGGAAAUUCACGAAAGACCUUAGGAUUUUGCAUGUAAAUUUUGAAACAAUGGGGUAACGUAAUUUUUUUCUGGAUCAUGGUUCACUUCAAUGAAUCGAACGUCCUAUCGUUUCUUCAUGAAAGAGUAUACUUGAAAAUCUAAUUGGUGUAAUGUAAUUUGUUUUUUUUUUUAUCGUUUCUAAUUUCUUUGAAGAUUCAUGCUUUAAGGUUCAUAAAAAUGAUUCAAUUGCAUAAAAUUAUCAUCUCAUAAGUUUUUUUUGUGAUUGAAACAGAAAAAGACAAAAAUAAUGAUAAUUACAGAAGAGCGUGUAGUUGUAUAAAAAUCAUUACCAUUUUCGCGAGUCACGAUAACGUAUGAAUACGAACUAAGGUCAUAAACGUUUAGCGUUACUUUCGCGGCGUGGUAACGUCGUUUCCAUCGAUCAAUACUGCCGAUAUUUGGCAACUAUAUUACCAAUGAGAAAUUCCCGCAUACUCCGAUCGUAUUCACCGAGAAAUUGGAUUUCAGGAAUCUUGGAACUUAACGAGGUUAUCGUGCGAGGAUUUUCGGACCUUUGGAAUUUACGACAUCUGCCGCAACGAAUGCAUGACCUUUUUUUCGUUACUUGAACAUUUUUCCCGCUAUAUGCUACUAACUUGGUUUCAUCGAUCAUUUCGACUUCCUGGGGUGCAGUUAUCGGCGUAUUCGAGUGCCCUGCUGUAGGAUCGUCGUUGGCGAGUUCUCCAUUGGUCGAGGAUACCACCUAGAUCGACCGAAAAUUAUCCAUUAAUUUUGUUCAUUUUCCUUAUUAUACGUAGUUUUGUUCAGAAUAAUCAAAAUCCAUUGAUACACACGGAAUAGAAUUAAAAACUGUAGUAUCAUCAAACUCGUGUAACAGUAUUUGGCAAGGAAAAAUAAAAUUUCAAAAAUAACUUA